rnacentral:rRNA from 1 species
UACGGAGGGUGCGAGCGUUGUCCGGAUUUAUUGGGUUUAAAGGGUGCGUAGGCGGCCUUAUAAGUCCGGGGUGAAAGCCCGUUGCUCAACAACGGAACUGCCCUGGAUACUGUGAGGCUUGAGUACAGACGAGGUUGGCGGAAUGGACCGAGUAGCGGUGAAAUGCAUAGAUACAGUCCAGAACCCCGAUUGCGAAGGCAGCUGACUAGGCUGUUACUGACGCUGAGGCACGAAAGCGUGGGGAGCGAACAGG